ACAUGGCUUUAGAUUCAGUAGUGACUUAUGUGCCGUAGUGUAAAGAAAGGCAUCAAAACAAGACUAAUAAUGUGUAACCAUCAACAAAAAUCUUUCGUCAUAUCCCUGUGACCUCCUCGGAAACUCUACAUCCGACCUGUCUCCUCCAGUGCUAUUUAGUGCAUUCAGAGAAUGGACUAAACAGAAUGGGAGGUGACACAUGUGAUAGCAAAAUAAUAAACCUGAAGCGAAGAGUGUGUAGAGUGUGUGUGUUUCUUUGGCAAGAAAAACCUGACCAUUCUCAAAUAUGACAAUAUUUGUUUCAACACAAAAUUUCCCAACAGGAAUCUGGCAAAACGAAUACAUAAAGGAAUUGAAGAGAGCUGUGGAUAAUAGGUUGCCAUUUUAUUGAUCUCGUCUCAUCAACGAAGUACAGACUCCCACUUGGAUGCCAAAGGAAAGAUGAAAGAAAUAUUAA